GGGAUAGGGAACCCUUGGGUGGGGUUGGACAUGCGUGGUUCACAAAUUAGAUCAAUUUAUAGAGUUACAUUUGGGAAACAAGCCCCUGAAGUGCUGCAUUAAGUCUACCAGGAGGCGCUGCUGGAGAAGCUGAAAUAGGAUUCAGCAACUGGGUAACCAAGGCCAACGCUCGCCCUCUAGUGGUCAAGAGUCCAAAGUGCAGCGAGGGCCUUGCUGGUUGGCUGGCCUCGGGCUUGCUCAGAGUAGGUACCAAAGACUAGACCAGUAGUGGCACUCUGGUAUCUUUUGGUUUAAGAAACAUUUCUAUAAAUACCUAGUCUUUCCAGAGUCAAGAUCUCUUUUUAGAGCUCUUCUCCCCGCACCUCUCCUUUAGAGGGACAGGAACACAGGAUGAUGCCCGGGGCUUACCUCAUUCCUGUCCUUGUCCACAGUCCUGUUCGCAGCUCUCAGCCCUGGCUCUGCAUCGCUGCAGCUGCUUCUUCUCAGAGCCCUCCUGAGCCUCUUCAUCAGACUAGGUUGGCUCCCCAGGCAGCUCUGUACGCCACCAUCUUGGAUCUCGGCGCUCUGUGAGACCUCUCCCAGCCUCUUCUCAGCAGGGAUUUUCAAACCUCCCUGAGGUCCAGCUGGGUGGCCAGACACAAGCAGGCAACCUGUUUAGUGCAGC
rnacentral:lncRNA from 1 species